GACGAACGCUGGCGGCGCGCCUAACACAUGCAAGUCGAACGGAGGCAAGAGGAGCUUGCUUUUCUGGAGUUAGUGGCGAACGGGUGAGUAACGCGUGAGUAACCUGCCCUGGAGUGGGGGACAACAUUUGGAAACGACUGCUAAUACCGCAUAAGCUCACGGAUCCGCAUGGAUCUGCGGGAAAAGGGGUUAUUCGCUUCAGGAUGGACUCGCGUCCAAUUAGCUAGUUGGUGAGGUAACGGCCCACCAAGGCGACGACUGCUACACGGGCUGUGAGGCUGGGUCGCGACUCUGACACUGAGCCACGGCCGAGAAUCUUACGCGAGGCAGCAAUGGGGGAUAUUGCAAAAUGGCGGAAGUCAUGAUGCAGCUCGGCCGCGUAGAGUAAGUAGUUUUUCGAAUUGUAAUCUCCUGUCGUCAGGGAACAUAAUGACGGUACCUAACAAGAAAGCCCCGGCUAACUACGUG
rnacentral:rRNA from 1 species